rnacentral:rRNA from 1 species
AAGCGCUCAUGACCAGACUUGGGCCCGGUGAAUCAUCCAGCGUUCUCGCUGGUGCACUUUGCCGGGUCCAGGCCAGCAUCAGUUUGCCUUGGGGGAUAAAGGCUUCGGGAAUGUGGCUCCUCCGGGAGUGUUAUAGCCCGUUGCACAAUACCCUGGGGCGGACUGAGGUUCGCGCAUCUGCAUGGAUGCUGGCGUAAUGGUCAUCAGCGA